rnacentral:lncRNA from 1 species
GGAGUCCGAGCGGAGUUUCCCUUGAGGUUGGAGUCGUGGGCGGAGUCCGGCUCCCGUGGGAGUCCGGGCGGAGUCCUCUUGGAGCUGAAGUCGCGGACGGAGCCCGGCUCCCGUAGGAGUCCGGGCGGAGUCCCCUGCAAUCAAAGUCAGGUGCGAAGUCCGACUCCCGUAGGAGUCCGGACUGAUCUUACCGGCAGUCGA